CGCCGCGAGCCCAGGGGCUCGCCCUCGAAGGCAGCAGCAGCCGGCGCCUUAGGCUGAGAAGGAGGAGGACUCGCGCCGGGCGGAGCGUCAGGUCCAGUUUUCCUCUCCUGCGUCCUGAAUACAAAGAUUACGGUGCAGAAGGAAACUGCACUCGCCUCCUCCGCCUCCCGGUACCCAACACAAUGCACCAGCCGCCUGAGUCCAACGCCGCGGCGGCGUCUGCCGCCGCUGCAGACGUUAGUGCUAGGAAGAUGGCGCACCCGACUAUGUUCCCUCGAAGGGGCAGCGGUAGUGGCAGCGCCUCUGCUCUCAGUGCAGCAGGUACCGGUGUUGGUCCUACUGCCACAUCUUCUGAAGAUUUUCCGCCUGCGUCUCUGCUCCAGCCAGCGUCUCCUGCAGCAUCUUCCACAUCCGUACCACAGCCUCCUCCUCCACAAAGCCUGAACCUCCUUUCGCAGGCUCAGCUGCAGGCACAGCCCCUUGCACCAGGCGGAACUCAGAUGAAAAAGAAAAGUGGCUUCCAGAUAACUAGCGUUACUCCGGCUCAGAUCUCUGCCAGUAUCAGCUCUAACAACAGUAUAGCAGAGGACACUGAGAGCUAUGAUGAUCUGGAUGAAUCUCACACAGAAGAUCUCUCUUCUUCCGAGAUCCUUGAUGUGUCACUUUCCAGGGCUACUGACUUGGGGGAACCUGAGCGCAGCUCCUCCGAAGAGACUCUGAAUAACUUCCAGGAAGCAGAGACGCCUGGGGCAGUUUCUCCCAACCAGCCUCACCUUCCACAACCUCAUUUGCCUCACCUUCCACAACAGAAUGUUGUGAUCAAUGGGAAUGCUCAUCCACACCACCUGCAUCAUCACCAUCAUAUCCAUCAUGGGCACCACCUUCACCAUGGGCACCACCAUCCAUCCCAUGCUGGUGUGGCCAGUGCAUCUGUUCCUGGAGGGCCACCUACAAGCCCAAUAUCCAGAAAACUUUCUACAUCUGGAAGCUCUGAGGGUGUUAUGCCAGGGACACCAACUUCUGCUGUAUCAUUGAGUGGCUCACCUGCAUCUGUAAUGACUAAUAUCCGGGCUGCAGGUACUGCAGGCAGUGUAGGUAUAAAUUCUGGUACUGGCACUAGUACAGUGAAUAAUGUUAACAUUGUUUCUGUGGGUAGUUUCAGUCCUAACGUGGCAAGCAGCAUGCUUGGUAAUGCUAACAUAAGUACAAGCAAUAUUUCUAGUGCUGCUACUGUAAGUGUUGGGCCUGGAGCUACCAGUAGUGUUAAUGUGAAUAUCUUGAGUGGUAUGGGCAAUGGUACUGUUUCUUCCUCUGCUGUUAACAGUGUCCCUAAUGCAACUACAGGGACAAAUGUGGGAUUGGUUUCAAGUCAGCAGCAACAACCAACAGUUAACACAUCAAGGUUCAGAGUUGUGAAGUUAGAUUCUACUUCUGAACCCUUUAAAAAAGGUAGAUGGACUUGCACUGAGUUCUAUGAAAAAGAAAAUGCUGUAUCUGCUACAGAAGGUGUGACAAAUAAAGUGGUGGAGACUGUAAAACAAAACCCGACAGAAGUGACUUCUGAGAGGGAGAGCACUAGUGGGAGUUCAGUGAGCAGUAGUGUCAGCACACUGAGUCACUACACAGAGAGUGUGGGAAGUGGAGAGAUGGGAGUCCCUACUGUGGUACAGCAGCCACCAGCCCUUCAAGGUGUGGUGGCCCUUCAACAAAUGGAUUUCAGUAGCAGUGGUCCACAGAGUAUUUCAGCAGUUAGUAUACCACAGAGUGUUUCUCAGUCACAGAUGUCACAAGUACAUUUACAAUCUCAAGAACUAGGCUAUAAGCAAAAGCAAGGUCUUCAGCCAGUACCUCUGCAAGCCACUGUCAAUGCUGCAACUGGUAUCCAGCCAUCAUCUAUAAAUGUGGUUGGUGUAACUUCAGCUCUAGGUCAGCAGCCUUCCAUUUCCAGUUUGGCUCAAACCCAACUGCCAUACUCACAGACAGCUCCUCCAGUGCAAACUCCCCUUCCAGGGGCACCACCCCAGCAGUUACAAUAUGGACAACAGCAACCAAUGGUUUCUACGCAGUUGGCCCCAGGCCAUGGUCAAUCAGUGACUCAGAAUCCUACUUCAGAGUAUGUACAACAGCAGUCACUUCUGCAAACAGCAAUGUCCUCUGGGCAGUCCAGUUCUGCAGGAGUGGGAACAGGGACAGCAGUGAUUCCUGUGGCUCAGCCACGGGGGAUCCAGCUGCCAACGCAGUCCACAGCAAUUCAAGCACAACCUGCAGGGACAUCUGGCCAGCCUGUUGGCCAGGCUCAAACAGCAAUGUCUGCUGUACCUAUUGGUGGUCAAAUUGCAACUAUUGGUCAACAAGCAAACAUACCUACUGCAGUGCAGCAGUCCUCUACCCAAGCUACACCUUCAGUUAUUCAGCAAGGUGCUCCUCCAUCUUCACAAGUAGUUCCACCUGCUCAAACUGGGAUUAUUCAUCAGGGAGUUCAAACUAGCACUUCAAGCCUUCCUCCACAAUUGGUUAUUGCACCCCAGAGUACCUUGUUAACUGUGCCUCCCCAGCCACAAGGAGUAGAACCAGUAGUUCAAGAAGUUGUUUCGAAGCAGUUGCCCACAGUUAGUCCUUUACCUUCUGCUAGUAGUAUUCCUGUUACAAACCAGGUUAGUUCAACUGGUCCUUCUGGAAUGCCUUCUGCCCCAGCAAACUUGGUUCCACCACAGAAUAUAGCACAACCCCCUGCCACUCAAAAUGGUAAUUUGAUUCAAAGUGUUAGUCAACCUCCCUUGGUAGCAACUAAUAUAAAUUUGCCAUUGACACAACAGUUACCACUAAGUUCUGCUCAGUUCUCUGCACAAUCAUUAGCUCAGGCAAUUGGAAGCCAAAUUGAAGAUGCCAGGCGCCCAGUGGAGCCGUCCUUAGUUGGCUUACCUCAGACUACCAGUGGUGACAGUGGGGGAAUGUCAGCAGUUUCAGAUGGGAGUAGCAGCAGCCUAGCAGCCUCUGCUUCUCUUUUCCCGUUGAAGGUGCUACCGCUGACAACACCCUUUGUGGAUGGCGAGGAUGAGAGCUUUGGAUAUAUUUCCAAACUGACUGCCAGAGCCAGGAGGAAGUGAAAGCAUUAAAACACUAACUUUGGUUGGUUGCUACUUACUUAGUGCUGAGACUAUAACCUUUGUUGGUUGGUUGAUAGAGAACAAGAGCACAAUCCUCGUUCCACUACAGCUCUAUUUCAGUGCUUCUCUCCUACCAGAGGUGCAAGGAGUGAUCCUAGAACCACAGAUACAGCCAAGACCACGGAGAGCUUUUGACGUCAGGGGUCCACUUUCUCCACUGAACCCUUGGAGACAGAAUAUCCAGCUUCUGGAGAGAGAGGGAAAGGAUAAUAAACAAGUGGGUGCUUUCCAUUAUUUACUUGGGUUUAUUUUUAGGUUGGAGUGUCCUUCCAUUACCCAUUUUAUUCUAUUGGUAAACUCCGUGGGUUCAUGUAAGAACCAGGUGGGGCCACAAUCUCUUUUGUUUUUUUGAGAGUGCUAACUAGUGCCCAUUCAAAAACAAAACAAACAAAAAUCCCAUAAAUUUUAUUUAAUUUUCUCUCCAGAUAACUAAAGGAUGAUUUGGGGCACAUGAUUUGGUGGAUAUGUGUGUAGUCCACAGAAAUUUUAAAAGGGAGUAUUUAUCCAUUUGGCCUUUAUGGUAAUAGUGGACUUCUAAGUGCUCUCAUACAUUCUCAUAAUUUAAAAGUUUUUGUAUUUCAUCUUUGCCAAGAUGGACAUCUAAAAUCUCUUUAAUUUAUAUAGUAGAUGUCCAGGUGUUACCCUACCCUAUUAGUGAGAACUUUUUGGUCUUUUUCCUACCUCAAAUAUUAGGCUUUCAUACUAGAUGUUCUAGAAGAUACAAUGAUAGUAGUAUUGUUAUGGUUUUACUGUCAAAUCUAGGCUUCAUUCUUUAAUAAAAUCAAUAUAAAUGAGUAUAAGUUUCAGGAUAUAAUAUCCUUGAAAGCUAUGUUUAAUAUACUCAAAAGAAGUUUUCUAGUCCUAGGAAUAGUAUUAUUUGUGGCAAAAUAGCCCUUUGCUGGAUUUUUCCCAUGGCAUUAAGAUAGUUUUCUCUUAGUUUCUUUGAUGCCAAGGGUAGGAUUUGAUUCCAGGAAGUUCUUAUCAUCUACAAUGGGUAGGAUGUGAACUUUGGUGCCUUUGGCAAGUUUUCAUUUUUCCUUGGUGGAUUCCUUCUGUGACUCCAGGUGUCUUGAUAAUGGGAGACCGGUUUAAUUGUUCUCUAAUUGCCCAGAUUUCUUUCAACUGGUAAAACAUCAUACUUCUUCAGCAAAAGGAAUUCUUCUAGCAGAGCCUUCAUGGAUGAUAUCUGUCACACAUGCCAGCAUCUGCAGUUUGGAAGGCAGUGGUGAAUGGAUCCAUGCAAUAUGUAUAGAAGACACAAGGAUGAGCCAGCCACCUGAUCUUGUUAUUUAUAAACUUUUAAGAUUUACUCUUGGUCUGAAAAUGGAAAGGCUCAAAUAAUGAAAUAAUCUUUUCAGAUUGGAAUUUCAUGGCCAUGAAAACAUUCCUUUCUAUUCAGAAGACUGAAAUAGAGGAAGCUUGAGAGACUCCUUUCUUUUAAAGCAGCUCUCUGUAUCUGUUUCACUUAAAAGAUUUCUGGGACUGAAAAUCACCUUAAUAAAGUAGUAGGUAAACUUUUUUUUGGAAAAGUACUAUAGGAAAUCCAAAAAAUUAUUAAUGGUUUUUUUCUUUUUUCUUUUUUUGGUUACCUGAUGCUGAAAGGAGCUAGUGAAUAAAGGGUGAUUUUUAAAGUUAUUUAAGACUUUUAAUAUUAAGAUACACUCCUUUAUCUUUUGCUGCUCUUGAACCUUACUAUAAUCAGAAUCAACAAAGACUGUAGGGUAGAAGUAGAAGAGACAUCUUUGAAAUUAAGUAAUUUUAUCUGUCUUCUACAUGAAUAAAUACCUGUUAAACUUGAGGUAUUGUUCUGCACAGAAAGCAUACUAAAGUUUAAGUGAUACUAACACAGAAUAGUAAUUUACAGGGCAAAGGCAAUUUGUAGUAUUAGAAUAGGCCUGUCUUUGAGUAAGUGUUGCAAGCUAGUUUUAUCCAAACUUUCAAUUAAUGAUAAAAAGCAGUUAUCAGAAUGUUUGUUUCUUUAUUUGGUAUCUAUUAAUUGGUCAGUCCAAAGCUAUUAAAGAAAUUUUAAAAAAAUCAUUAGGUGCUGUCAUUUUGUGAUAUUUUGUACAAAUUUUAAGAGAAAUUCUAGAGUUUCUAAUAUGGAAAAGCUAAAGUGUUUUAGAAAUGCCAAACAUUUUAGAAGCCACAUUUGCUUAAAUAUAACCUGGCCUUUAGCUUUCCUUGGCUUAUGAUGAGAAGUGUUUUUUUUCUCAUUGAUUAUAGAUAAAUUUUUGUAAAUAUUGUACUUAAAACUAAGUUUAAAAGAUCAGUUGGAAUUAAAAUUUCCCCAGAGAGCUCUGAAUUUUCAUUAAUGAUGAUAACUUUAUUUGACUUGUUUUUGUUAAUACAGUUUGCAAACACAUGUGUACUAAAAAAAAAAAAAAAAAACUACCUAAGAUUUUAGAAGGAACUCA